AGAAGUGUGGCCGAGUGGUCUAUGGCGCUGGUUUUAGGCACCAGUCAUUUCGAUGACGUGGGUUCGAAUACCUCCGCUGCCA
rnacentral:tRNA from 1 species